GACGAACGCUGGCGGCGUGCUUAACACAUGCAAGUCGAGCGGUAAGGCCCUUUCGGGGGUACGACGAGCGGCGAACGGGUAGAGUAACACGUGGGUGACCUGCCUCAGCUCUGGGAGUAAGACCUGGGAAACUAGGGUCUAAUACCGGAUAUGACUCCAUGACGCAUGUUGUGGGGUGAAAGCCUUGUGCGGCUGAGGAUGGGCCCGCGGCCUAUCAGCUUGUUGGCGGGGUGAGGCCUACCAAGGCGACGACGGGUAGCCGGCCUGAGAGGGCGGCCGGCCACACUGGGACUGAGACAC
rnacentral:rRNA from 1 species